CCUANGGGAGGCAGCAGUGGGGAAUCUUGGACAAUGGGCGAAAGCCUGAUCCAGCCAUGCCGCGUGAAUGAUGAAGGCCCUAGGGUUGUAAAAUUCUUUCGACGGGGAAGAUAAUGACGGUACCCGUAGAAGAAGCUCCGGCUAACUUCGUGCCAGCAGCCGCGGUAAUACGAAGGGGGCUAGCGUUGUUCGGAAUUACUGGGCGUAAAGCGCACGUAGGCGGAUCGAUAAGUAAGAGGUGAAAUCCCAGAGCUCAACUCUGGAACUGCCUUUUAGACUGUCGAUCUGGAGCAGAGUAGAGGUGAGUGGAAUUCCGAGUGUAGAGGUGAAAUUCGUAGAUAUUGGGAGGAACACCCGUGGCGAAGGCGGCUCUCUGGACCACAACUGACGCUGAGGCGCGAAAGCUAGGGUAGCAAACGGGAUUAGAUACCCGANUANUC
rnacentral:rRNA from 1 species